rnacentral:rRNA from 1 species
UACGGGGGGGGGCAAGCGUUGUUCGGAAUUACUGGGCGUAAAGGGCUCGUAGGCGGCCAACUAAGUCAGACGUGAAAUCCCUCGGCUUAACCGGGGAACUGCGUCUGAUACUGGAUGGCUUGAGGUUGGGAGAGGGAUGCGGAAUUCCAGGUGUAGCGGUGAAAUGCGUAGAUAUCAGGAAGAACACCCGUGGCGAAGGCGGCUCUCUGGAACGCAACUGACGCUGAGACGCGAAAGCGUGGGGGAGCAAAACAGG